GAUGAACGCUGGCGGCGUGCCUAAUACAUGCAAGUCGAGCGAACAGAUAAGGAGCUUGCUCCUUUGACGUUAGCGGCGGACGGGUGAGUAACACGUGGAUAACCUACCUAUAAGACUGGGAUAACUUCGGGAAACCGGAGCUAAUACCGGAUAACAUAUUGAACCGCAUGGUUCAAUAGUGAAAGGCGGCUUUGCUGUCACUUAUAGAUGGAUCCGCGCCGUAUUAGCUAGUUGGUAAGGUAACGGCUUACCAAGGCAACGAUACGUAGCCGACCUGAGAGGGUGAUCGGCCACACUGGAACUGAGACACGGUCCAGACUCCUACGGGAGGCAUCAGUAGGGAAUCUUCCGCAAUGGGCGAAAGCCUGACGGAGCAACGCCGCGUGAGUGAUGAAGGUCUUCGGAUCGUAAAACUCUGUUAUCAGGGAAGAACAAAUGUGUAAGUAACUGUGCACAUCUUGACGGUACCUGAUCAGAAAGCCACGGCUAACUACGUG
rnacentral:rRNA from 1 species